GACGAACGCUGGCGGCGUGCCUAACACAUGCAAGUCGAACGGGGUAGAGAGCUUCGGUUUUCUACUUAGUGGCGAACGGGUGAGUAACGCGUGAGAAACCUGCCUUUCAGUGGGGGACAACAGUUGGAAACGACUGCUAAUACCGCAUAAUGUUAUUAGAGGGCAUCCUCGAAUAACCAAAGCUUUAUGUGCUGAAAGAUGGUCUCGCGUCUGAUUAGCUAGUUGGCGGGGUAACGGCCCACCAAGGCGACGAUCAGUAGCCGGUCUGAGAGGAUGAACGGCCACAUUGGGACUGAGAUACGGCCCAGACUCCUACGGGAGGCAGCAGUGGGGAAUAUUGGGCAAUGGGGGAAACCCUGACCCAGCAACGCCGCGUGAAGGAAGAAGGCCUUCGGGUUGUAAACUUCUUUUAGCAGGGACGAAGAACGUGACGGUACCUGCAGAAAAAGCAACGGCUAACUACGUGCCAGCCGCCGCCGUAACAC
rnacentral:rRNA from 1 species